rnacentral:lncRNA from 1 species
UUUUGGUUGAAAAUUUCUAAUUUUAUUUAUUUAUAGUAACUAAAUUAAUUAUUUAUAUUUGAUAUUGAAGUUUAUAUUGCUAUUCGUAGAACUUUUGAAAUGUAAUGCUAUUUGGAGAAGAAAAUUUUAGUUUGGUUACGAAGAAUCUGCGGAAAAGAGGACUUGAGUGUGAUUUAGGAUGUGCCAGAUGUGGCGCAUUUGAGGAAACAAUUAAUCAUACACUUUUUCAGUGCCACCCGGUACGACAGACUUGGGCGUUUUCACAGAUUCCUACAGUAAUGGGGAAUUUCCCCACGGAAUCUAUUUAUGUGAAUUUGGAUCACUUAUUCUGGAGAAUACCUUCGG